GCACGCUCACUGGGGAGGAGGUCAGAGCCUCAUGAAGGCUGAAGUGCCGCAGUAGAAUUCAAGUGUGCAGUUACAGGUCAUUCUCAGGAAUAAGAGUGAAUGAGGGGUUCAGAGGCUCUCAAUCAAUGCUCAGAAGCAUGUCUGGAAAAGAACACUGGGGAAUGAGUGGAGAACAGAGACACUUCUCUUCCUGUAUGAGCAGCUUAGGGCUGAAGCAUGAAGACUGGGAGAUAGUGGGACGUGAUCUUAAAAGGAACUAAAACAGCUCAACACAAAAAGAAGAUGGAAUUUCCCAGGAGGAAGGUUCAUUACAUAAAAGUCCUGUUUGCCCUCAUGUUGAGGCUUCUACAAGAAGAUUCUUGGGUUGCUUACCCAAGAUUAUUCAUUGCAUUAGUAAUAUUUAUAGAAAACUGCAGGCAAUCAGGAGAGAAGGGAUGAAACAGAAUAGAUAAGA